UAUAACUUAACGCGAAGGACCUUACCUACCCUUGACAUGUAUGGAAUCCUGCUGAGAGGUGGGAGUGCCCGAAAGGGAGCCAUAACACAGGUGCUGCAUGGCUGUCGUCAGCUCGUGUCGUGAGAUGUUGGGUUAAGUCCCGCAACGAGCGCAACCCUUGUCCCUAGUUGCUACGCAAGAGCACUCUAGGGAGACUGCCGGUGACAAACCGGAGGAAGGUGGGGAUGACGUCAAGUCCUCAUGGCCCUUAUGGGUAGGGCUUCACACGUCAUACAAUGGUCGGAACAGAGGGUCGCCAACCCGCGAGGGGGAGCCAAUCCCAGAAAACCGAUCGUAGUCCGGAUCGCACUCUGCAACUCGAGUGCGUGAAGCUGGAAUCGCUAGUAAUCGCGGAUCAGCAUGUACGCGGGAAUACGACAU
rnacentral:rRNA from 1 species